rnacentral:rRNA from 1 species
GCCAGAGCCAUAUCACCCUGCAGUUCUCGCCUGGUUUCCAACUGAAGCUAAGCAGGGUUGAGCCUGUUCAGUUCCUAGAUGGGAGACCUCCUGGGGAAAACUAAGGUUGCUGCUGGAA